GUUACCUCUCUAAAAAAUGUAAUGGACUGUACUGAAAGCCUAACUUUGACUGAUGUGAGGUUUGGGACUUCAUCCAGGAGAUGCUGGCAUGUCAGAGUCCCUUUGAUGAGCAGAGUGUAGUAAGCAACAGACACUGGGAAAAUACUUCCUAUCUGUUAGAAAAAGGUGACAGUUUUCAAAUAGAUGAUACACGAUUUAGUUUUGUUGGUCCUUUUCAAGACUGAGAUAUCAAGGCUCACAUGUUCAGAGGACUUGACAUCAGUAAGAGCUGCCACAGACCCUUUACAACAGACUAAUCAAAAUGAAA